rnacentral:rRNA from 1 species
AUGCCUGCGCUGCAGCUCUUACCCUAUGCUCUCUUCCUCACGGCCUUGCUAGCCUCGUCGGCGGCCGGCCACGCGGCGGCGUCCCUGCGGGCUCACCUCACGCACGUGGACAGCGGCCGCGGCUUCACCAAGCACCAGCUGCUCCGCCGGAUGGCCGCUCGGUCACUGGCCCGCAUAGACAGCCGGUGCCCAGCACCUGGCCGUGGCGCCAAUGCGCACCCGGUGACCGCGCCCGUGAGCCGUGGCACCGUGGGCAUAGAAAACAUGCAAUCCGAGUACCUCGUCCACUUUGGCAUCGGCACGCCUCGCCCGCAGCGCGUGGCGCUGACGCUAGACACCGGCAGCGACUUCGUCUGGACGCAGUGCUUCUGCCAGGUCUGCUUCCCUCAGCCGUUCCCGGCGAUCAACAUCUCCGCCUCCGGCACCAUCCACGGCGUCUCGUGCUCCGACCCUGUCUGCUCGCAGGGGGGGCUCGCGCUCUCCGGGUGCACCGCCCGCGACAACAUCUGCUUCUACACCUACUUCUACGGCGACAACUCGAUCACGACGGGGCAGAUCGUGGAGGACACCUUCACCUUCCAGCAGGCGCCCAACGACGGCAAGGUCGCCGCGGUGCCGAAACUCCGCUUUGGUUGCGGCAUGUUCAACACCGGCCUCUUCGGAUCAAACGAGUCCGGCAUCGCCGGCUUCGGCCGCGGGCCGUUGUCUCUGCCGUCGCAGCUCAAGGUGGGUGGCUUCUCCUACUGCUUCACCAACAUCGUGGAGUCCAGGACCAGCCCCGUGUUCCUGGGCACGCCGGAUGACCUUCAAGCGCAGGCCACGGGGCCCAUCCAGUCCACCCCAUUCGCCCGGGGUCCAGACAGCACCAAGUACUACCUCUCGCUCAAAGGCAUCACCGUCGGCAAGACGCGGCUGCCAUUCAACGCGUCGACGUUCGCGUUCAAGGGCGAUGGCUCCGGCGGGACGAUGAUCGACUCCGGCCUGAGCAUCACGAAAUUCCCGCGGGCCGUGUUCCUGAGCAUCGUGGAGGAGUUCAAGGCGCAGGUGCCGCUGCCGUCCGACAUGGUCGCCGGCAUGCUGUGCUUCUCCGCCCCGCAUAAGAAGAAGGCGCCCGCCAUGCCGAAGAUGACCCUCCAUCUUGAAGAUGCGGACUGGGACCUUCCACGGGAGAACUACGUGCUGGACCUCGACGGCGGCGACGGCGACGACGACGGGACGUGCGUGGUGAUACAUGCGGCGGGCGAGAGCGGCAUGACCGGCAUAGGCAACUUCCAGCAGCAGAACACGCACGUGGUCUACGACCUGGAGAGCAAUAAGCUGGUCUUCGUGCCCGCUCGCUGCGAUAAGCUGUGA